rnacentral:rRNA from 1 species
AUUUGAUAGUACCUUACUACUUGGAUAACCGUGGUAAUUCUAGAGCUAAUACAUGCUAAAAACCCCGACUUCGGGAGGGGUGUAUUUAUUAGAUAAAAAACCAAUGCCCUUCGGGGCUCCUUGGUGAUUCAUGAUAACUUAACGAAUCGCAUGGCCUUGCGCCGGCGAUGGUUCAUUCAAAUUUCUGCCCUAUCAACUUUCGAUGGUAGGAUAGUGGCCUACCAUGGUUUCAACGGGUAACGGGAAAUUAGGGUUCUAUUCCGGAGAGGGAGCCUGAGAAACGGCUACCACAUCCAAGGAAGGCAGCAGGCGCGCAAAUUACCAAAUCCCGACACGGGGAGGUAGUGACAAUAAAUACUGAUACAGGGCUCUUUUGGGUCUUGUAAUUGGAAUGGGUACAAUCUAAAUCCCUUAACGAGGAACAAUUGGAGGGCAAGUCUGGUGCCAGCAGCCGCGGUAAUUCCAGCUCCAAUAGCGUAUAUUAAAGUUGUUGCAGUUAAAAAGCUCGUAGUUGAACCUUGGGCUUGGCUGUCCGGUCCGCCUCACCGCGUGCACUGGUACGGCCGAGCCUUUCCUUCUGGGGAGCCGCAUGCCCUUCACUGGGUGUGUCGGGGAACCAGGACUUUUACUGUGAAAAAAUUAGAGUGUUCAAAGCAGGCCUAUGCUCGAAUACAUUAGCAUGGAAUAAUAGAAUAGGACGUGUGGUUCUAUUUUGUUGGUUUCUAGGACCGCCGUAAUGAUUAAUAGGGAUAGUCGGGGGCAUCAGUAUUCAAUUGUCAGAGGUGAAAUUCUUGGAUUUAUUGAAGACUAACUACUGCGAAAGCAUUUGCCAAGGAUGUUUUCAUUAAUCAGUGAACGAAAGUUAGGGGAUCGAAGACGAUCAGAUACCGUCGUAGUCUUAACCAUAAACUAUGCCGACU